UUUUUAACAUUCAUUUUUUUAAGUAUCUCUGAUCUCUUUACGAAACUCCUCUCAAUCUGAUUCUGAUCUCUUUCUCUUUCUCUCUCUCUCUCUUCCAGCUGUUUCAUGAUCGAUUUACUCUAAGUUACAGCUGAUUACAACACAAGAACCCUAGAAUACUUUUUUUUUUUUUUUUCUUGAAUUGUGAUCCGUCAGUAGUAGUAGCAAUGCUUGAUCUUUGAAGUUACUGGAACAUUUGAAAAUCGAAUUAGGGUUCUGAUCUACUUGGAAUCUGCUCUUCUUUUGUUUGUUUUUGGGCUUUUUCAGCUCGAUAUUGGGCUGAAGCUAUGGCGCAGAGUAAUUGGGAAGCUGACAAGAUGCUUGACGUUUAUAUAUAUG